ensembl:lncRNA
AAAAAAAUCUCUAUCACUUCUAAUCUAUAAUGGCAAGGACAACUCUGCACCGCUUAUCGCCCAGUGCUUCAAAUAACACUCUGUGUGUUUGUGUUUGUCUUGACCCUGAGUCCAAUUGAUUUGAUUUGCCUUAAGUUGGCCUGGCUGGCAUCAACUGUGUGGUUUGACUUGUGGGACAAGACCACGCUAUGGGGCAAAGUGGGGGUCAGAGAUGGACCAAUGUAUUAAGAGACUUUUAUUUCACGGCUCAAUCAAAAUCAACCCGUGUAAUGCUUCUUGGUCACGACUCAUCCGUUAAGUAACACUUGUAUAAAUGCUAUAGUCUUGGCUUCAAGACGGCAGAACACACACACACAUCUGUAUCAUUCUAGAUUAGAUUGCCGUCACACAAGCCACAUCUGCACACACACAGCCUGUCUGACCAACAUGCAUCCAUUUAAAUUAAAAAAGCGUGCCAGAUGUUGAAGUUAGCACUAAAGGUAAAGGACCAUACUGGCCGGGUGAUUAAACCACUGUCUCUGCCCGACUCACUCAAACAUUUGAUACCAUUCAUUUGUCAAGAUAACUGUUGUAGCGUGCAUAAGCCCUCGCCACGAAUGUAAACAAUAGCAGUAGCACUUUGGUAGCAGUAGCACAAAACGGUAGCAGUAGCACAGAAGUGUUACUUCCAACAUUUUGGUUGAUUACGCUAUCUUCUACUUCCUCUGUAGAGCGCGCUAAAACAAGUGUUACACAAGUCAAAUAGGGAUACACUCACUGUUUGAGUGAGUGUAUCAACAAGGCUGCUACCGGUUAGAGCUACUGCUACUGCCAACGCUUACAUUUACGGCAGUGGUGAACGCACACUCACGGUUCCUCAGAAUCAUGACAAACGUAUGUUUUAGUACUGCCAUGAGAGACGGUUACAGGUGUUUUAAUCACCUGGAGCACCAUGGCCCUGGAACAACCUAAAUAAAUUAAUAUGUAGUAAAAAAAUACAAAUAAGUUAAUGACCGAGUUAAUAUUUGACCAUGAAACGAAUAUCGAGGCCUCGUUGCAAAUUAAAAAGAAAAAAGUAUAUACAAGAAUGUAGUUUACAUUUACAAAGCUCUUAACCAGAGAGCUGACAAUUUCUUUCUCCAUGAAUGAGUUGGUUUGUGACAACAACAUCCAAAUCAUGUGACUAUUAUAAAAAUGUAUGUUUUUCUAGUAACAUGGGACUACAAUGUUGUACCUUUUGUUAAGACACAAUUCCUGUUGGAUGUGAUGGCAGGUCAGAAGCGGCAGUCACGUCUGAUCACUAAAGCAAAGUGGAUCAACCUUAAGUUUUAAAUGCACCAGGACUGUUUUCGGGGGAAAGUUGAUCACUUCCAAAAGGCCAGGGCUGGCUUGUAUCGCGCCCUGAGAGGUGACGGGACAGGGCUGUGCUAUGAUCGAUUCUGGACACGGUCGGUUGUGUCCUCUAGGCGUUAGCGAGUAGGAGUGCUAGGAGUUAGCCAGUAGGAGUUAGCCAGUUAGCCAGUGCUAGGAGCCAGAGUUAGCCAGAGUUAGCCAGUGCUAGGAUCCUAGCAGUAGGACCGCGUCUGGCUCCACUUGGCCCCCGGCACCCCGUUCUGCCCCACCACCCCUCUCAGGGACGCCGUCUCCGGCGCCGUCUCCCCCGGGGGGGAGCCCUGAGCCUGGUGGGGCGGGCGUGGCCUCGCGGCCGCCGCCGCCGCCUGGUGCAUGUUCUGGGCCAGGUAGCCCCCGGGGUCGCCGCUGGGGAGGCCGAAGAGCCCCGGGGGCGGGUAGGCGUGGGGGGAGCGGCGGGGAGGGUAGAGCGGGUUGUGGCAGCUGCGCGAGCUGUGCGAGCGGGGGUUCAGACGGGACGGCGGGUCGGGGGCUCUCUGGAACCGCAGCAAGGGGUCCUGGGGGGGUUGGACGUCGUAGGCCUGGCGGUGGUACUGGCCCCGGCCCCCCGAGGAGGCGCGGCGCGAGGCCCCCGCCUGCUGGAAGGAGGAGCAGCUGAACAAGGCGGCGGCGUAGGGCGGCGGCGGGGGGACGGCGUCGGCGCCCGGGUACUGGCGGCCCCUGAAGUGCGUCUGGUGGCGGGAGGAGGAGGAGGAGGAAGGGCCGGGGCGGCUCGGGCUGUCGCUGUCCGCCUCGUUGCCGUCCUCCUCCGCCGCCAUCUUGGCCAUGAGCAGCUCGGCGAGGUUCUGACCCGAGAGCGGCUCGGCGUCCUCGUCCUCGGACCAGGAGCGCUUGGCGGCCGCCGCCGCCGCCGCGCACGGCCCCCGGUCGGGCCCCCCCGGAGCCCGGUCGUCCCCGGCCCGCCCGCCGCCGCCGCCCCCCGGGGGGGACGGGAGGGAGCCGGAGGAGCGGCUGUCCCCGGGCGAGGUGAGCGGCGAGCGCUCCCGGGGGGUGUCCAGGUCGCUGGUGGCCCAGCCCCGGCCCACGGGGAGCGCCACGGAGGAGGAGGCCGCCGCCGCCGCCGCCGGGGGGGGGGCGGCGGACGGCGACAGGCUGAAGGGGUAGUUGACGUAGACGGGCUGCCGGGGCUCCGCGGGCGGUCUGUAGGGCCGCUGGGGGCCGUGGCGUCGGGCGGGGGGCGCCGGCCUCUUGGCGCGGUGCGCGGCGCGGCGGCGGUCGCCGGCGCGUCCUCGGGCUGGUCGCGGUAACACACGCGGCCGUUCUCGAAGUAGGGGUGCAGCGGCGCGGGCUGCGGGGUGGGGGGGUUGGAGGCGUGCAGAGAGGCGGCGGCGGGGGCGUGGCGCGCCUUACGCGGCGAGGAGAACGUGCGGGAGGCGGCGGCGGCGGCGGCGGCGGGGGGUGAGGGCGCUGAAGCAGGAGGCCGGGAUGGGGUGCAUCUCGCUGCCGGCCGGCAGCCUGCUGAACGACGCUUGCGGGGGCGGGCCCGGGUCACCGUGGGAGGGCGGGAAGUGGCUCGCCUCUGGGAGGGCGUGGUGGGAGGGGGGGCCGUGGUAGGCCUCGGGGAGGAGUGGGGCUGGGGCGGGG